rnacentral:rRNA from 1 species
GACGUAGGAUGCAAGCAUUGUCCGGAUUUAUUGGGCGUAAGGAGUUCGUAGGCGGUUUGUUAAGUCUAAUGUUAAAGAUCAGGGCUCAACCCUGGGACUGCAUUGGAUACUGGCAGACUGGAGUGUGGUAGAGGUAAGUGGAAUUUCUGGUGUAGCGGUGAAAUGCGUAGAUAUCAGGAAGAACACCAGUGGCGUAGGCGACUUACUGGGCCAUAACUGACGCUGAGGAACGAAAGCUAGGGGAGCAAAUGGG